ensembl:lncRNA
GUUGGGGAAGGUUUUUCUGCAAAGUCAUGUGACUUCAAGGAAUCAUCACACCCUGCUCAUAAAUAGCCAGCUUGGUACUUUCGAUUUGCAGAACUGACUGCAAACCCAGAGGCUUCAGUACUCAGAGGGGAUCAGUGCUGGUGUGAAGGUGAUCCUGCACAAGGACAUGUCUUUGUAACUGUCCUCUUGUUGGUGAAUACACAGCAAUCUUCUAAGGGUAUUAGGAUUUCUCGGAGCAGACAUUGUAACAGAUAGUUGCAGAGUUUCUUCUGUGUUUUAACUACAACCUCUUAACCAUUAUUUUAACACUGAGACACACGACUCCCUUUAAUUCGUUAACAAACACAUUUGUAAGAAUUCUG